AUCAGGAUGGCUGAGUGGUCUAAGGCGCCAGACUCAAGUUCUGGUCUCCAAAUGGAGGUGUGGGUUCAAAUCCCACUUCUGCCA
rnacentral:tRNA from 1 species